rnacentral:rRNA from 1 species
AGAGUUUGAUCCUGGCUCAGAACGAACGCUGGCGGCAGGCUUAACACAUGCAAGUCGAGCGCCUCGCAAGAGGAGCGGCAGACGGGUGAGUAACGCGUGGGAAUCUACCCAUCUCUACGGAACAACUCCGGGAAACUGGAGCUAAUACCGUAUACGUCCUUCGGGAGAAAGAUUUAUCGGAGACGGAUGAGCCCGCGUUGGAUUAGCUAGUUGGUGGGGUAAUGGCCUACCAAGGCGACGAUCCAUAGCUGGUCUGAGAGGAUGAUCAGCCACAUUGGGACUGAGACACGGCCCAAACUCCUACGGGAGGCAGCAGUGGGGAAUAUUGGACAAUGGGCGAAAGCCUGAUCCAGCCAUGCCGCGUGAGUGAUGAAGGCCCUAGGGUUGUAAAGCUCUUUCAACGGUGAAGAUAAUGACGGUAACCGUAGAAGAAGCCCCGGCUAACUUCGUGCCAGCAGCCGCGGUA